CCGCAAGACCUGAGACCUGACGGAUAAAAGCAGAGAGGAGUCAGAGUGAGCGCUGCGUUUGGGAAACUGCAUUCCAGGGCAGCAAGACUGGUGCCAAGACGGAAUCGUGGCAAAAGCCUCCAGAGGUCUUCCUUAAUAUAUGUCAGCCGUGGAGUGGUGUACUUAAGGAGAGAGAGACUUGGAAAAAUACAGACCGAGAACAAGGCCAUGUGGAGAUAGAGGCAGAGACUGAAGUUGUGCCACCAAAGGCAAAGAAUAUCAAGUAUCGUCAGUAACCACAGGAAGCUGGAAGAGGCCAGGAAAGGUUUUUCUUAGAGACGUUGGAAGGAGCCUGACCCUGGAACACCUUGAUUUUAGACUUCUGACCCCCAAAAUUGUGAAAGAAUAAAUUUCUGUUGUUUUAAGCAA